GGCACUGUGGCAUAGUGGUAAUGAGUUGGGUCCAUAACCAAAAGGUUGUCAGUUCGAUUCCCUGCUGGGACA